rnacentral:rRNA from 1 species
UACGUAGGUGACAAGCGUUGUCCGGAUUUACUGGGCGUAAAGAGCGCGCAGGCGGUCGAUCAAGUCGAGUGUGAAAGCCCCCGGCUCAACUGGGGAGGGUCAUUCGAUACUGAUCGACUCGAAGGCAGGAGAGGGUAGUGGAAUUCCCGGUGUAGUGGUGAAAUGCGUAGAUAUCGGGAGGAACACCAGUGGCGAAGGCGAGUCCCUGGACAACACCUGACACUGAGGCACGAAAGCUAGGGAGCAAACGGG